UUACAUGCAAUAACUCCAUGCGAAUUCAUGGGAGAAUACGUUGCUACCAAUAACAUCGAAGUAUCUAAAGGUUCACUGAGGAAGGUCCAAAUGUAAAGUUUUCACGAUAGUCUUUGCCAGAGUACAUCAUAAGAAACAACCAACGUAGGGGCAAGAUGAACAAUAUUGGCAUAUUGUUACUAUCCUUCACUGUUAUUCCAUCCAUAAUUUCAACUUAUGCUGUAAAAGAUCUGGAUUACUAUGUACCUAUGAUUAUACAAAUAUAUAACGAAUAUAACACCGCUGGUAUACUUGUCAUGUCGCCAUCGGAUUCCCUCCACUCAUUUAAUGAAGUCACUUACUGGCAUGGGCUAUCAAUGACCUUCUCUAAGCAAGGGAUACCAUCGCUAAUGGUGAGUUCUACGUACUUCAUGACGAGAUUGGAGUCUUACAAAAAACAUUACAACCGCCCAUUUGUUGUAAUCGUGCUUCGUGAACCGGGAGAUCUGCAGAACUGGAUACACAUCACCAGGAAUAUGUCCAUGGAUGACGUUUUAUGGAUGCUACUCUUUAUUGAAACCGUCGAUCAAGAUACCUGCAAUUUUUGUCGGAAUCCGCAGGGAAAUGUGUUCAAUUUGAAAUUCAAUUCGGAAAUGUUAACAGUAUGUUGUAACUCCAACAUGAUCGAAGACUGGUGGUCAGUUACACCAAAUCGAACGAAUACACACCAUCUGGGUACAUGGAUCGCAGAAAAAAACGAAAUUCAGUGGUUUGGCGAGAAAUCUCUCAAUAGACGACGAAGUUCACUAGAAGGCAGGUCAUUUCGGAUCAGUUUUGUUAAGGAAUCGAGUUACAUUUGGAAGAAAGAUGGUCAGCUUCAGGGAUUUUUAGCUGAUGUUCUUCAGGAAUUGGGUAAAGCAAUGAACUUUACAAUAUCAACUGUUAUUGAAGAAGAUGUAUAUGGCGUUCUUGAUUCACCACCGCCUAUUUGACGUGGGGUUAUUGGGAGAAUCGCCGCAAAAGAGGUUGAUAUAGGUGUCGAUGGCUUUACUACAACGAGCACGCGACGUGAAGUAGCCGAUUUCACUGUUCCGAUAAUAAAUGUCGAUUCUCGAAUAUACAUUAAAUCUGAUUCUCCAACUAUUCGCUGGAAUGCAUAUUUUCAGGUUGCUUGACUGCUGUUUGUCCAUAGUUUAUGACUAAUUAUUUGCACGUUUUCCAAAUUGCAAAUUAAUUUACAGGUUUUCACUAAACCGCUGUGGGAAGCCAUUAUUGCUAUAAUUAUAAUAAUGCCUCUUUUUUUGACAUUAAUCAAAUACAACAGAAGAUUUAAUUUUUUUUGUCUCAUCGCUGAACAUUAUUUACAUGUUUGGGGUAUCUUCUGUCAACAAGGCAUACCAGGUAAUUACAUAUAAUUAUGCGUUCAGCUACCCGUAAUGAUGAAAUAAUUUUUAACAGAAUUUCCCAAUGGAAUGCCCUUGAGAACAUCAUAUAUUUCGAUAUCCCUAUCAGCAUUGGUUGUAUUAUCUGCGUAUUCCGCAUCACUCAUUAGUUUUCUUGCCGUUUCACCGCUACCAUUCAGUAACAUGGAGCAAUUUGUCGAAGAUGGCACAUAUCCAUUGAUAACCAUAUAUGAGAGUGAGGAUUUUAAUAAAUUUAAGUUUGCUAGUGACGCAAUCAUGCGCCAAAUGAUGACCAUCAUGAAACCUGCUGAAAGUUUGCCUAAAAGUUACUCUUCAGGUUUUCGCCAGACAUGUAAUGAGAAAGUGGCUUUCUACACUCACUACGAACCUUCAAGUGGACGAGGGUUUAAUUUUAUACCAUGUAAGACAAUUUCGGUUAAAGUUGGAUCGAAUCAAUUGUCGGGCAUUAUCUUGCCAGCAGGAAGCGAGUACAAAAGCGUCAUUAAUUAUCAACUUCACCGGCUUAAAAUAAAUGGCGUGUUACAGCGGCUGGUUCACAAAUAUGCUCUGUACGAUGGGCUUUCUAAUACAGCUCACAAGCCAGUGCAGUUGUCCGGAGUUAUACCAAUUUUGAUCAUUCUAGUAGUUGGAUUAAUUGCUGCUUCGAUAGUUUAUUUGAUGGAACGGAGUUUUCACUUUUUAAGAGGCAACUUACGACGUCUACGAAUCCUCAAAAUUUCACGAAAAAAAUAAUGAGCCCAAGAAGACGAUGUAUGCACAAUGCACAUUGAUGAUGAUGUCCCGAGUUAACCACCACAAAGCAAUCAGUAUUCUUCGUUAUUAUUUUCAGGUUUUGGACAUGAAGUGAUUUAUGAUAUUUUAAAAUAAAUUUUGGA